GUAAUGAGAAGCAUAUUGAGGAAUCCAUUAAGCAUGCAAUAGCUGCAAAGAUGGAAAGUAGCCUUGAUAAAAGUUAAAUUCAGAAACACCCUUUCAAACAGGAACCAACUCUUAUUUUCUAAAUCCAAUGAUGACAGGAAUUAUAGUAGCUUAAUGCUGAAACAGUGACCUGCAGAAAUUCUAAUUGUUUUUGUACUUAAAAUUUACCACGAUAAGUUACUAUAAAGCAAGCAAGAAACAAGAACAAACUUCUCCAGUUGUACAAAAAUAGAGAGCCCUCAGACAGAAACUGUGGGGUGUUCAAGAUAAGAUUGAGAGAACACAGCAGUUAUAUUACAUAAUUACUGCUCCACUCGUAAAACAUUUAAACUGUUUACUUCCCACUUACAUAUCUAGAGUAAUGCUAACACCUUGCUUUGUGAAAUCCUCCAGGGUCCAACACGUCAGGGACUAGAUCAUUAUUAUCAUUAUAGCAAAGAUGAAGGAAUAUUGUGCAAAUAGUUCUAGAUUUAACUAUGCUGAUUUUUAAAUAUUUUAAAAUUCUCUCUUGUUAUAUGAGAAAGAAUAUAUUUAGGAAACAUUUAUUUUGCAAUGCGCAUUUCUGCACAUUUCUGUUCCUUAGGGAUUUUUUAACUAUCUGAAAAAUUAGAAGUGUGAAAUUUUAGGGCUGGAUUUUACUGGGUUUUUGGAUUAGCUAUCUUAUGUAAAAAUUGCUCAUAAUGUUCAAAGAACGAGUUGCCUUCUCAGAGAAAUCUGUGUGUAACUGAAGGCUGCUAAAUUUCAAGGAGCAAAAAUAGUUUGGGUGUUACUUUGUGGUGGAAGGCAUUUAAAAGGAUUAUUUUGGCUAAGCUUGCAACAAAUCUUUGCAAUAGUGAGAUACCAGUCUUUGUGGGAAGAAUGUUUGUCUAAUUGGAACUUUGUUGACUUGGCAAAACACUAGCUGAUGACAUGCAGGGAAGCUUCUUGUAUUAGCAGAGAACGACAGGAAGAUAAGCUAGUAGGUCUUUUAGACACUGCAUUCUGGACUCUCCCUUUCCUCCCAUACAAAUAGAAAGGAAAUUAAAAAGAGGAAGGUGAUACUGAAAAUAUGAGAACGUGUUCCUCUGUGACACUCCCUUUGCUUCCUAAUAGUAUCUCAGCAGGAAGUUCUGCAGCAGUAGCCUUUCUUGUGAGAUUAUUGAUAAAAAGUAGAGGUGCUAAACGAAUAAAAAAUAAACAAAUUAUGAAGUUUGAAGAAAUAAAUGUUUCAGAGGAAGUAUAGAGUAGAUUGAAAUACUGAAUAGUGUUCUGGUUCCUUUUUUUUUUUAAUCAAAUUUUUUCAGCUCAUGCUGACAUUAUUUAGGUUUCUAAUACAGCUACAGGGUAUUAAAUAAAUAUGAUAACUUAAAUAUAAUCAGUGGAAGUCUUAUUUAGGCUAAGUAAGGCACACAACUGAACUGAAUUCUGCUAGCAAUCUUUCACAGAUUUCUAGUGUGUUAUCUGGUGAGGAGUUCCUUGUGGGAUGCUUGAUCAGACAUAGCAGCCUAUUUCUCAGGUGUUGCUCUGCGGAUAAAGAUAUUGAAAUGAUUUCUCCUAAUAGAAGUCACUUCUGAAUAUAAUUACUAUGAACAGAUUUUUACCAUUGAGAUACUUUCUAUUUCAUGACUUCUUAUUAUUUUCCUGCCUCUCUUAUUUUCCUGCUGUAACCUGAUUCUCAUUUUACCUCCAGAAGUGAGGUGAUCACCAGGGCACUCAGUUGUGGACUCUCAUUAUGAGCUUGAACAAAACCUCCGAAGAAAAGUUCUCUUUUUUGUUGCAGUCAUAGCACUUUUAAAUGGAUAUAACCUCUCAACUGCCCACAGGCACUUCAGUGUACUAACAUCUCCUCUUUCCCUACACAAAGUCUUGCAUGUGUUUGAAUGAGCGCAUGACUGGCUACGUCAGCAACCUUGGGCAGCAAUAUCUUUGCAAGAGGAGACAAAUCCUCAGGAAUGAACAAAUGCCAGCUAAUUCCAUGUGUCUGGGCUUGAUAUGGUCAUGAAAAAAGAACCAACAACACAACAACAUUUAAAGAAAAUAGUCAAACAAUCCUCAUUUAUACAAGAGUUGCCCUUCUAAAUACCAAAUCUCUACUAGUAUCAGGGAGAAAGAAGUAUUUCCCAGAAUAUUCAGAAAGAUCAGCUGUCUUUAAAGAUUAACAGCACUAAUUUGUGCUUGGUCUUUGGGGCUUUUUGUUUCUUUCUGUGAGAUGCUAAGCAGUCUAAAAUAAUAGCUUUAUUGAAUAGCUGCACUGUGGUUGGUCUAAGCACAACUUAGCAACUAAUGAAGGCCCCUAAAGUUCAGUACAGCCCUCAGCCUGUGACUACAGGAAAAAAUUUAAGACACUAGAAAGAGUAUUUGCCUAGAAGCAGGACACCAUUGUGGUGAGCUUGAUUCCUUCACUCUUUCUGUGUUUACCUAUUCCCUCAGCCCAAUAUACAGGCCCAAGGGUAGCUGUCUGUCUAAUAACUUAUUCAACUGUCUUCUAAAAAAGGAGCGACCCAUGAGUCAUUUCACACUCCCCGGGCCCUCUGUAUGGGUAGCAUGAAAGCUCAACCAUGCACACAAACUGUUUUCUUUCCAUUAAGGUAAUUGGUAUACCCUUUUUGGGGAUAUAUGUCACAUGACUUGACUUCAUUGCCAGGCAGUCAGCCUCACUUCACUUCACUUACUGUAGUGUGGCAUGACCAUGCAGUCAGCCUCUGCAGCAGAUGCCACGCAGACCUGAUAUGAUAACACUAUCACCCAAUCAUGCUUGGGAGCGCAUAGCUUCACGAUAGGCAAGAGACAUUUGCCUUGUGCUGCCCACUGCUUCUAGAUAAUCUCAAGCCUGUCAGUGAGCCUUUCAAAACACAGCCUUACAAGAAUCUUUUUUUUUUUUUUUUUUGCUUCAGCCUUUUAUGGUUAUCAACAAAUUAAAUAUCUGCCCCCCUCCCCCCUCCCAGUUUCAAACCUUCUAAUUCGUUGCCAGUAAAGCUUCUCAGUGAUUAUAGAAAAUGAAGCAGAGCUGCUGUGUGUGGAUAAAAAAGAAGAUUCUUUGAGUCCUUAUUUCCUGAUUUAGUGAAGAAGUUUCAGGUUAGAGCAAACAUAAUAAUUCAAGUAUUGCUGCAAGGCGUAUCUUCAGUAACUUAAGUAGCACUUGUCUUCUUGAUCUUGGUUUUUCUCUCAUUUCCACAAAUACAUCCUGGAACACAAGCUCCUGCUGUUGCAGGCAACUGUGUAUGUAGUCCCUUACAUGCAGUGGUCUAACUCUUUUUUAAAGCCAGGUGAAUUAUUUUUCCUCAUUGCUCCCAUUGUUCAGGAAUUUAAUUCCUCUAAUAGUUAGAAAGAUGCUAAGUCAAAACUAACUGUGACCAUCCUUUGCAGUUAGCUCUUAUACCUCAUUGUCCUCUAAUUUAAAUAGAUCUCUCACUGAGUAAUGCAUUCUGGGGUAUUGUUAGAAAAUGCCUGCAGCAUUGUUUUCAUAGACUAAACAAGACUUUUCCUGUAUGAUAAACUUUCCAAUCUGCUGUUUUCCUGGUACUCCUCCUGUCUUUUCCAAUCUUAAUUCACCUUUAUCCAGCCCAUGGACCAGAACAACAUCCAACACCCCACUGAUGGGUUCACCAGUGCUCUGCUCCUCCUAAAAUCACUUCACCUGCUGCUUCCUAAAGCUUCACUUGCCUUGUUACAGCCAAAUGGCAGUGAUGGUAUCUGAGCAGCCACUGAUGGCUCUGUACAACAAAGUCACAGCUUCUACCGCUAAAUAUUUUUCCAUUUGUACUGAAAGUCACUCAGAAUUACUUACAUAAUAUCAGAGUUCUUCGUAUGUUUCCAACACUGCUCAGUUUCAUGUUAUCAGGGAAAUUUUCUAGCCCAUCAUUAGUUUCUCAGACAACACAGUUUGCAUGAAGCAUAAUAACUGGGAAACAAACAAAAGGAUAGAAAGCUUUUCUCUGUGGAAUUUGUUUAGAUUUUUAACCUGUAUAUCUAGCACAUACCUGAGUAGAUUUCUGUUCACAUAUCUUUAACAGGAACAUGCUAAAGAGACAGUCAGAGACCAAACUUUUUCUUCACAUUUAGAUAUGGCUGACAUUAAAGAGUAUGUUAGUUCAAAGUGGUAUUUUUCUCCCUUAGGCUCAUCUGCUUUUGUUGAUCAGCUUUCUACUCUAAUAAUAUUUUCUUUUUUUCCACUGACUGACAUUUACUUACUGCAGUAGCAAGUCCUUGAUAAUCGCAUUCUCCCACUGGGCUUGUUUAAUAGUGCAGACAGAAAAGGUGGUUUUCAUAGAGUGGAAUUGUUCAGAUUUUAUCUCCUAUGAUAAUCACCAAAGAGGAUUUACAAAUCUAGCAGUGGGGGUAAAAAAAAAGAGAAAAAAAGGAAGAUGCAGGGUUUUAUUUGCAAAUUUUGAAAUGUGGCCUUUAGUUGGGAACUUGCAGACAGAUAAAGGUCAUGCAACUGCCCUCUCUAAUCUUCUGCAACUGGUGUUGAACCCUAUGUCUUCCCUGCUUGAAUAGCAUUUUCCUAAGAAUUAGCUCAGUCAUACAGUCCUAAGUAAAUGUCAGGUUCUCUUUUUCUGUCUUUGUAGGGAAUUCCCCUCCUGUUUCUAGUUUGAACUGGGAGAGUUACUUUUAAUGUGUCCAAGAAAUAUGUUUGAGUAAUGAUGAUUUUUGAAGCUGGGAUUUUCCAUUUCUCACCCUCAAUAAAACCAUAGGAUUUCCAGUCUUAAAUGGUAUAUGAGGUAUGCCCUAUUUGGGGAACUGAUAAAUCCCAACACUACCAAAAUCCAAAGUACACAUCUCUGAAAUUAAGACUAGUCUCCCUUUAAAGGCACCCACUCAUCUUCAGUAAAGGGUGAACCCUGCUAGGGAGAGUUCAAUUAUAACGUGGAAGCUGUCACAGACUCAAGUCAUAUGUCAUUGGUGGGGCUAGAUUCACUGGAAUAAAGAACCUGAAACUUUUGUUCUUUGUCUGAUUUUAUUAGAAGUUAUUAACCUGUAAGAAGAAAAAGUGAAACACUGUUUUGCAGCAGGAUCAAAGUUUAUGAUUGCAUAUCUAUACUGAAGGAAGAUCUCCAAAAAAGAAAAAAAAAAAGGAUCUUAAAAUUCUGUCAGAAAGAAAAGUUCAAAGGAAAUCAGAAUAGCUACAAAAUAGGAUAUUCUACAAAGCAGAGAUUCCUAUAAUGCCUACUGUGGUGAAAACUGCAGAUUUAAAUAUAUACAGUACUGGUCAACGUAUCUGUAUCUCAUAGCUUCCAUUCAAGAACCUAUCAUACUUAAAAGAGAGUUUCAUUGCUUGAGGGGAUGUUGCAUUCUUUAAUAAAAUAUGCGAGGCAGUUGUAGAUGCUUCUUGUAACUAUCCUGUAGAGACAACUGGGAUUUUUAUUUCACCACGUUCCCAGUGCACCACCUGAGGGGAAAGGGGUGAAACGUUCUGAGUCCAGCCUUGUACAGAAGGUAGCUGGCAGAUUUUACCAAUAACCUCGGAAGAAUCCCCCCUUUGACCUGAAUGGAAAGUGAUACUGUGUCUGCAUGCACCAAUAGUUUUGCUGUGAGGGCAAAGAUCAAAGGCCCUCAACGUUGCCAUUAUCAAACCACUGAAAGAAGCAAUGUUUGCAGCAGUGCUGGCACAUGGUCCCUCUAUCUUAACUCAGAUCAACUUUAAAUCACUCAGUGAAACAGAACAUACAGACUGUCACAGGCACCGCUGUACAAAGUACCUUCACAUAGCUUACUAUGGGCUUCUGGCUGUAUUUUAAGAGGGUUUUAACAGGAUACAGGAUGUGGCCUCUUUCCUUGACAAGCUAUCUAGAAAAAAAUAACCUUUGAUUACCCAUAGUCUGUGCACAUGUGCGUAUUUAUACACAAACAAGCACCAGCGGAGGAAACCACAGUGUUCUCAGUUUUGCAGAUCAGCUGUUUGACUUCAUUGUGUACCUAUCUACCCUGUAAUCUGAGAUCACAUAGCAACAUGAGUGUUACUGGGCCAACAAUAGCCCUGCCUUCAGCAAACUUUCCUUUCUUAACCCUGAGCAAAAGCAAGUGUAGGAAAUGGUGUCUGUCAGAUAACAGCUGCUAAUUAUGAGAAAAUGAGUUAAUGCAAUGAUUAGUCUUCAUUAACAAGUUGGUCGUACGUUUUUCUGUAUCCCAGAAGGUAUCUCAAAGAGGAGUUAUUUCAAAGCAAGAAUCAGAGUCUUAGUUGAUGUAUUCAUUAUUAAUAAUUACAAACCAGUUCAUUGUGGUCAAGCCUUUUGUGGAGUUACUCUUUGAAAGUAAAGAAAAUGUGAAGGCAAUGUCCUCUGAAACUUUACCAGUGUAUUUCACCCAACAAAUCAGAAGGUGCCAUUCACUUUUGAAGGUUAGGAAUGUUGGGUGGUCCCAUGUAGAGUCAGGAGUUGGACUUGAUGAUCCUUAUAGAUCCCUUCCUACUUAGGUUAUUCCAUUACUCUAUGAUUAUUGCUAUAUGCAGUUAACAAGUCAAUCACUUACAUGUGUACAGCCUUUAUACAGCAUAUGGUC
rnacentral:lncRNA from 1 species